CGGGGAGUUGCACGUAAACUUUGAUCCGAAGAUUUCCGAAUGAGGAAACUCACUUAGAGUAAUGUCUAAGUAUCAUUAAGUGAAUACAUAGCUUAAUGAGGGGAACUCAGGGAACUGAAACAUCUAAGUACCUGAAGGAAGAGAAAGAAAUUCGAUUCCGUAAGUAGCGGCGAGCGAACGCGGAUUAGCCCAAACCAAUAAAGUUUUCUUUAUUGGGGUUGCGGACAUAUCAUAACGAAGAGGUAUCGUAAUUGAAGAGGUUUGGAAAGACUCACCACAGAAGGUAAUAGUCCUGUAUGUUAAACGAGAAGACUUCAGAUAUGAUCCAGAGUACCACGGGACACGUGAAACCCUGUGGGAAGCAGGAGGGACC
rnacentral:rRNA from 1 species